GAUGAAGAACGUAGCGAAAUGCGAUAAGUAAUGUGAAUUGCAGAAUUCAGUGAAUCAUCGAAUCUUUGAACGCACAUUGCGCCCGCCAGUAUUCUGGCGGGCAUGUCUGUUCGAGCGUCAUUUCAACCCUCAAGACCCCUUCGGGGGACUUGGUGUUGGGGACCGGCACAGGGGCCUGCCUGCUUGUCUUGCAGCGCCCUCGCCGCCCCCGAAAUGAAUUGGCGGCCUCGUCGCGGCCUCCCCUGCGUAGUAGCACAAACCUCGCAACGGGAACGUGACGGCGGCCACUGCCGUAAAACAACCCAAUUUUAUUAGAGUUGACCUCGAAUCAGGUAGGAAUACCCGCUGAACUUAAGCAUAUCAAUAAGCGGAGGA
rnacentral:misc_RNA from 1 species